rnacentral:rRNA from 1 species
UACAGAGGCCCCAAGCGUUACUGAGAAUCACUGGGUUUAAAGGGUGCGUAGGUGGCGCGUUAAGUCCGUUGUGAAAUCCCUGGGCUCAACCCAGGAAUUGCUUCGGAUACUGGCGUGCUUGAGGCUAGUAGGGGUCACUGGAACUGACGGUGGAGCGGUGAAAUGCGUAGAUAUCGUCAGGAACGCCGAUGGUGAAGACAGGUGACUGGGCUAGCUCUGACACUGAGGCACGAAAGCGUGGGGAGCGAACGGG